CCUACGGGGGGCAGCAGUGGGGAAUCUUGCGCAAUGGGCGAAAGCCUGACGCAGCCAUGCCGCGUGAAUGAUGAAGGUCUUAGGAUUGUAAAAUUCUUUCACCGGGGACGAUAAUGACGGUACCCGGAGAAGAAGCCCCGGCUAACUUCGUGCCAGCAGCCGCGGUAAUACGAAGGGGGCUAGCGUUGCUCGGAAUUACUGGGCGUAAAGGGAGCGUAGGCGGACAUUUAAGUCAGGGGUGAAAUCCCAGAGCUCAACUCUGGAACUGCCUUUGAUACUGGGUGUCUUGAGUGUGAUAGAGGUAUGUGGAACUCCGAGUGUAGAGGUGAAAUUCGUAGAUAUUCGGAAGAACACCAGUGGCGAAGGCGACAUACUGGAUCAUUACUGACGCUGAGGCUCGAAAGCGUGGGG
rnacentral:rRNA from 1 species